rnacentral:rRNA from 1 species
AAAGCAUCGGUAGCCGGCUCUGUAAGUUUUCGGUAAAAUCCAUGUGCUCAACGCAUGGGCUGCCGAAAAUACUGCAUAGCUAGGGAGUGGGAGAGGUAGACGGUACUCGGUAGGAAGGGGUAAAAUCCUUUGAUCUAUCGAUGACCACCUGUGGCGAAGGCGGUCUACCAGAACACGUUCGACGGUGAGGGAUGAAAGCUGGGGGAGCAAACCGGAUUAGAUACCCGGGUAGUCCCAGCUGUAAACGAUGCAGACUCGAUGAUGCAUUGGCAUAUAGCCAGUGCAGUGUCGCAGGGAAGCCGUUAAGUCUGCCGCCUGGGAAGUACGUACGCAAGUAUGAAACUUAAAGGAAUUGGCGGGGGAGCACCACAAGGGGUGAAGCCUGCGGUUCAAUUGGAGUCAACGCCAGAAAUCUUACCCGGAGAGACAGCAGAAUGAAGGUCAAGCUGAAGACUUUACCAGACAAGCUGAGAGGUGGUGCAUGGCCGUCGCCAGCUCGUGCCGUGAGAUGUCCUGUUAAGUCAGGUAACGAGCGAGAUCCUCGCCACUAGUUGCUAUCAUUAUUCUCAGGAAUAAUGGGGCGAAUUAGUGGGACUGCCGUUGUUAAAACGGAGGAAGGAGGGGGCUACGGCAGGUCAGUAUGCCCCGAAACUCUGGGGCCACACGCGGGCUGCAAUGGUAGCGACAAUGAGCUCCAAACUCGAAAGAGAGUGGCAAUCUCUAAACGCUACCACAGUUAUGACUGAGGGCUGUAACUCGCCCUCACGAAUAUGGAAUCCCUAGUAACCGCGUGUCAUUACCGCGCGGUGAAUACGUCCCUGCUCCUUGCACACACCGCCCGUCGUUUCAUCGAAGUUUGCUUUUAGCGAGGUGAUGUUUAAUGAC